ensembl:lncRNA
GGGGGGUAUAUGUGUGUGCUAGUGCCUGUGUGUGUGUGUGUGUGAGAGAGAGGGGGGGGGGAGUAUAUCCAACAGAUAUUCCCACAUUUGGUGUGUUGAUGAGGGUGGUGUUGAGCGCUGUCUAACGCGUCACUCCAAAACCCCCCCCGAGGUGUUCAGGUGUGUUGAGCGCUGUCUAACGCGUCACUCCAAAACCCCCCCAGAGGUGUUCAGGUGUGUUGAGCGCUGUCUAACGCGUCACUCCAAAACCCCCCCGAGGUGUUCAGGUGUGUUGAGCGCUGUCUAACGCGUCGCUCCAAAACCUCCCCGAGGUGUUCAGGUGACAGCAAAGGCCAUAGCACAUGAUUCACAUCAUUGUCAUACUCAUCAAAUCAUUCGGUGACCCCUCGCGUCGGUGAC